AACACAAAUUGUACUUUUCAGUAAUCUGGAAAGUAUGCUUGGUUGAGGGUCAUUAAAAUAACAUUCGUGAAUUUUUUCGCGGAUUUGAGUUUUCCAGCAUUUAUUAUUAAAUAAAUGUUGGUAACUUUAAAAUUAUUUAUAACUUGGUACAAGUUGAAAACGUGCUAUAUGUGUGGUUCGCUGACAACUUGUCCAUCUUUAUAUAUUAUGCGCGUGCUUGGUUUUUUUAAAGCUGUGUGCGAGUAUAUAUUUUUUUAUGACCUCAGCUCAAGCAAGAAUACCCGCUGAACUUAA
rnacentral:misc_RNA from 1 species